rnacentral:lncRNA from 13 species
ACAGUAUUCUAGCUUAAUUUGACUAUUUCUUAAAUUUUAAUAUCAAUUUUCCUAAAGUAUAUAGUUCUUGAGGGUCUACCUAGCUACAUUAUGCUUAGAAAAAAAAUGAAUUACCAUUGUUAGUUAUUAGAGACACAUGGAAAACACUUCAGAUUCAGUCAAGAAAAACGAAAAUCACAGAGAAGAAAUAAAUUAAAAAGUAGAAAUUAGAAGUAUGUCUACUUUGUUUUUUUUUUUUUUGAGAUGAAGUCUUGCUCUGUCACCAGGCUGGAUUGCAAAGGUGUGAUCUCAGCUCACUGCAACCUCCGCCUCCCAGGUUCAAGCGAUUCUCCUGCCUCAGCCUCUUAAGAAAGGGGAUUACAGGUGUGUGCCACCAUGCCCAGCUAAUUUUUAUAUUUUCAGUAAAGACAGGAUUUCACCAUGUUGGUCAGGCUGCUCUCAAACUCCUGACCUCAUGAUCUACCCACCUCAGCCUCCCAAAGUGCUGGGAUUAUAGGCGUGAGCCACCGUGCUUGGCCAAAAGUAUGUCUACUUUGCGAUUUUCAUUUUUCGGUUUCAUUAUAAUCUCUAGUGGGGUUUAAUCUCCAUUUCCCCACUCAGUAAUUGGCAUUGAUACAUUCCAUAUUUAUCAGAAGAACAAGGGAAGGAGAACCCUUAUGAGGGAUAUAGAAUAAAGGAUUAAGCAUUAAAUCUCGUGCAAUUAUGGGAUCUGGCAAAAACGGCUAAGAAAGGCCCAAAGUUGCACUAGGUCAGGGCUAGUGGAAAGAAAACUGGGCUUGAAGUAGGAAAGAAUGAAUACAAAUUGAAGCCAGAGAAUAAGGACACAAAGCAGACAUUUGUUCAGAAAACAGGACAAACCAGGACACAUAGGGACAAACUGGGAGCAUGUGUCUACCAGUGCCUCCAACCUUGUCAGUGCAGAAGCUGGCACCAUUUGUUUUACAGUUGAGUCCCUGACUCCAAACUCAAGAGACCGCAAUAGGAGAGACUCAACAUGGGCUGGAGAAGCUACUGACUCAUACCAGCAAGGUGAGUAUCCAUUGACCUACACAGCCCUUCCAAAUUUAAGAAAAAUUUACAUUUUUCUUAUAGCCAACCUGAAGUUG